GAUGAAGAACGUAGUGAAAUGCGAUACGUAAUGUGAAUUGCAGAAUUCAGUGAAUCAUCGAGUCUUUGAACGCACAUUGCGCCCCCUGGUAUUCCGGGGGGCAUGCCUGUCCGAGCGUCAUUGCUGCCCUCAAGCACGGCUUGUGUGUUGGGCCUCCGUCCUCCUCCCGGGGGACGGGCCCGAAAGGCAGCGGCGGCACCGCGUCCGGUCCUCGAGCGUAUGGGGCUUCGUCACCCGCUCAUGUAGGCCCGGCCGGCGCUUGCCGACACAUCAAUCUUUUUUCCAGGUUGACCUCGGAUCAGGUAGGGAUACCCGCUGAACUUAAGCAUAUCAAUAAGCGGAGGA
rnacentral:misc_RNA from 1 species